rnacentral:lncRNA from 1 species
AGAGCAGCGUGAGCGUGGCUGGCCUGGCAGGUCCCACCCUGGCCCUCUGGGGAGGCAGCCCUGGGGCGAGCCAGCCCCACCGUGCACACAUUGCAGCCACAGCACAGGAUGACCAGGACCUUACAGAGGAGCCUUAAGGGCAAAGAUGGAGGUGGAAGGUGACCCCUGCAGCCUGAGGCUUUUAGGGCCUUUCUGCUCCUCCUAACCCAAAGAUGCCCAGCAAAGACAAAUGAAGCCCACCCAAGACCCCGAGCGCGACCACUCUGUGGAGAGCCACCCGGCCUCCGAGGGCAGGGCCAAGCACCCCAGAUGGGCAGUGACCCCUCCCUCACGAGGGUGGGCAGGAGAGAGCGCCUGUCCAGUGAAGGCGGCCAGGCAGGCCCACGGGUGAGCGGACGUCCGUGCUGUGCGCGUGGACAUGUCCUGUCUACGUGAGGAGGCUGGAUUCUCGGGGCUGGGCCGUGUGGGGUUGGGAGGGCUGCCCGCCUCCC